AUUGAACGCUGGCGGCAGGCUUAACACAUGCAAGUCGAGCGAGCGGCGGAAGGGUGUGUUAUGUCUGGGACAGUGCGUGAUGGAUGGGGAUAACUACUGGAAACUGUAGCUACUACCGCAUACCAUCAGAUGUGCCCAGAUGGGAUUAGCUUGUAGGUGGGGCAAUGGCUCACCUAGGCGACGAUCCCUAUCUGGUCUGAGAGCAUGCCCAGCCACACGGGAACUGAGACACGGUCCAGACUCCUACGGGAGGCAGCAGUGGGGAAUAUUGCACAAUGGGCGCAAGCCUGAUGCAGCCAUGCCGCGUGUGUGAAGAAGGCCUUCGGGUUGUAAAGCACUUUAAGUGAGGAGGCGUUACUCGCAGAAGAAGCACCGGCUAACUCCGUGACAGCAGCCGCGGUAAUAC
rnacentral:rRNA from 1 species